UGGGAGGAAGAGAGAAUGGGUAACGGCAGAAUGAGGGGGCAAGAAGGGUUUCAGGGGGAUGCAGAAAGGUAUUAUAAGAAGAGAACUAUAUAGAAGGAACAUGGAUUUAGAAGAACAGUGAGUCUGCUAUGAGUGGAAGAAGUUCAGAGGGUCAGGACGCUGGUUUCAGAGGCAUUUGAAAUUAUGUCUGAUGAGCCCCCAAAAGACUACCUCUUGCUGUCGAUCCUGGCCUACUUGCUGUGUUGUCCCUUAGGCAGUGCAGCCAUGUACUACUCUUCCCAGACAAGGCGCCACAACUAUAGAAAUGAACCAGACUUGGCAGCUGAGACCUCUGAGACAACCUUCGUGCUCUCAGUCAUAGCGAUUUCUUUGGGAUGCCUCGGUAUAUUGAACACCUGGAUUGUGAUCCUAGUGACCAUAUUUGCUCGGUAACCUCCCCUUCAGCUCAUGAACAAGCCACCAAAUAUAUACAACAGUGUCAGUCAUCUUGGCUCUAAGUAUCCAUUUGGGCCAAAUGGGACACCUGCUCCUCAAUGUCUGGACUGCCAGGUAUUGACAGCCUAGGCCAGCAACCUGAGCUGGUUGAUGGGGAAAGGAAAUGGUAGCUCAAGAAACCACUCUCCAGAUUUGCCCAGCCCAUCCCAUCUAGUGGACCAGAGCCCAAGACUAACACUGGGAUCCUGCCAAGGCAUGUGUGCCAUGGGAUACAGGGUGGGGCACUGGUUCCCCAGGGUAGCCUCCCUCUGCCCACAUUCAUGCAUGCAUGCCCUAAAUCCAUUUAUACUGUCAAAGACCUUGGCUGUUGCUGCCUGAUUCUGGGGAUCUGACAGUGACAACAAGUUCAGAUCCUGCCACACCCUCUCAGAUCCUCUCAGGGUAAAAGACACACAAAUUACUAGACAGUAACAGUUCAGAGUAGUCCAAUCUCUAAUAGGGGAAAGCGAAGUAGCGGGAAUAUAAGAGGGCAGAUCAACUCUGGAGUACUUGUGGUCUACCAGAAAACCAGGGAGUCAAGCAGCUGUCAGUGAACCAGUUGGAGUUCAGGUCAGGUUAUGAGUGUACAGUUUUUAUACCAGGUAUGGUGCCUCCUCCCCACCUCCAACCACCACCUGUAAUAAUUGUGAUUUAUUCAUAAAUCAAUGAGUACUUUCUAAGAACCUAAGAUGUAACAGGCACUGUACUAGGAGCCAGGAACUAGGAUCUUAACACAGCAAGAUAAAUAAGACCCCUUUCUGACCGACCUUACUAUUACAACCAACUCUUAGUGAUCUGCAACAAACUAAGUGCACAGAUUGCUAGUAGGUACUUUGAAACUUACAGCAGUUUGACAUUGCCAAGAUAUCCAAGUAUCAUCCAAGUCUAUGAUCAAUAAACUGGUCUUGUGUAACAGGGUAUAGAACAAAAAUCAGUCCAUGACACAUUGGAGAUAUCAAAAAAUAGGUACUCCUAUUCCACAACCACAAAUAAUUUGAGGCACACUGGGCUAGUGGACAAUGAAUUAUACUAGAAGGUAUAUUAUUGGGGUCAUGCUAGCAGCUAUAACAAACUCCACUAAUUCCAUAGCUCACACAACAGAACUUUUAUUUCAUGAUCAUGGAUUCCCCCAAUGUGGCCCACACACUAAGUCAAGGAUCCAGGUUCCUUCCACUUGGUGAUUCCACCACCUUCUAAGGACUUGGAGUGUUUUGAACUGAGGCAGAAGAUGAAAGACUGGAGAGCCUCCACUACCUUCUUAAAAUCCUCCACUCAAAAGUGAACCCUUGGUACUCCGGGUGGGAAAGUACAUUUUGACAGCCACUAUAGAAAACAGGAUGAAGAUUUCUCAAAAAAUUAGAACUACCAUAUGAUCCAGCAAUCCCACUUCCAGGUACAUAUCCAAAGGAAAUAAAAUCAAUGAGAUAUCUGCAACCUAUGAUCUUUGCAGCAAUUAUUCACAAUAGCCAAGACUGGAAGCAACUGAAGUGUCCAACAAUGGAUGAAUGAAUAAAGAAGAUGUGGUAGAAUCUCCAAAGGAAUAUUAAAACAUGAGAAAUAUGAAAUCCUGCCAUUUGUGACAACUUGGAUGGAAUUUAUGAGUGUUAUUCUAACUGAAAUAGGGCAUACAGAGAAAGACAAAUACUGCGUGAUAUCAAUUAUAUGUGGAAACUAAAAAAGCCAGACUCAUAGAACCACAAAAUAGAAUGGCAGUGGCCAGGGGCUAGGGGUGGGGGAGACGAGGACAGUCUGGGAAAAGAAUAUAAACUCAGUUAUAAGACGAAUAAUAUCUGAGGGUCUAAUAUAUAACAUGGUAACUAUAGUUAAAAAUACUGUGCUGUAUAUUUAAAAUAUGCUAGAAUGUUGGGACGCCUGGGUGGCUCAGCGGU